CCUACGGGCGGCAGCAGUGAGGAAUAUUGGUCAAUGGACGAGAGUCUGAACCAGCCAAGUAGCGUGAAGGAUGACUGCUCUAUGGGUUGUAAACUUCUUUUAUAUGGGAAUAAAAUGUUCCACGUGUGGGAUUUUGUAUGUACCAUAUGAAUAAGGAUCGGCUAACUCCGUGCCAGCAGCCGCGGUAAUACGGAGGAUCCGAGGGUUAUCCGGAUUUAUUGGGUUUAAAGGGAGCGUAGGUGGAAUGUUAAGUCAGUUGUGAAAGUUUGGGGCUCAACCGUAAAAUUGCAGUUGAAACUGGCAGUCUUGAGUAAAGUAGAGGUGGGCGGAAUUCGUGGUGUAGCGGUGAAAUGCGUAGAUAUAACGAAGAACUCCGAUUGCGAAGGCAGCUCACUGGACUGCAACUGACACUGAGGCUCGAAAGUGUGGGUAGCAAACAGGAUUAGAUACCCCUGUAGUC
rnacentral:rRNA from 1 species